rnacentral:SRP_RNA from 1 species
CCGCGAGGAUACAGCAUCAGCUCCUUCCGAACCCCCCCAGGGUAGAAAUACAGCAAGGGUAGAAAGUUGAGCGAUGGUUGUGUCUCUCGCAUUUU